UCAGAGACGUGAAUCGCUGGAGUGUAAACGGAGAGAGUUGACGAUGUCUGUUAACUAAGUUUAUCAAUGUCGCUUAAUUGUGACUAUGAUAGAUGUAUGUUGACUAUGGCAGCGCUGACAGCAUUGGCUAUACGUUCCGAACCGUUUGCGUUGCCCACCUUUCGGUGGUGUCUUGCUUUCGGAUAGGUUUGUUAUGGCUAAUGUUAUACCUUGCUUGCAGGGUGUCAGUGUAAAAGUCGACCACCUUUCCGACCCGUCUUGAAACACGGACCGAGGAGUGUAACUUGUACGCGAGUCAAAGGGUGGUAAACCCCAAGGCGUAACGAAAGUAAAGGUUGGUUAACCAACUGACAUGGGAUUCGUCUUUCAAAGGCGACGCACCAUGGCCCUGUCUUGUCUGCUUGCAGAUGGGCAGCGGUAGAGCGUACAGGUUGCGACCCGAAAGAUGGUGAACUAUGCUUGAGCAGGACGAAGCCAGAGGAAACUCUGGUGGAAGUCCGUAUCGGUUCUGACGUGCAAAUCGAUCGAUAGACUUGAGUAUAGGGGCGAAAGACUAAUCGAACCAUCUAGUAGCUG
rnacentral:rRNA from 1 species